GGGGCUAUAGCUCAGCUGGGAGAGCGCUUGAAUGGCAUUCAAGAGGUCGUCGGUUCGAUCCCGAUUAGCUCCACCA
rnacentral:tRNA from 1 species